rnacentral:tRNA from 1 species
GAAAAAUUAGUUAAAGAUAUAACGUUAGUUUGUCAAAUUAAAGUUACUUGGUAUUUUUCU